CCACAGAGCCACACAGCUCCCAUGAAGCCCAGCCUGGUCUGCCAACACCACCACCACACAUUUGCUCCUCUUGUCCUUAGGUGGGAAGGAAGUGGCCCAGCAUCUUCAAAUCAUUCUUGGGCCUUUAAUGGCCAGAUGAGGCCACCAGAGUCUGUCACAUUGGCUAAAGCAAGAGUAUUAACAUGGAUCACUGUCACUGAGAGGACGACCUAUUGAAAUAAUUCCAAGGGGUCUUGCCUAAGAAAGAGGAGGCCUGGGAAAGCAGAGAGAAAACCAAGCUUGAGUAUAAAUAGUACUGGCAGCAACCACCUUAAAGACCUUGGUUUAGUAAUGUGGAGAUGACAAGGGAUUCACAGCAAAAAUAAAAAAGCUCAUGAUUUAUGGAGCACAUGCCAACAGGGUCAAGGGUGACAGUAGAGAUGCUAAUCAUAAGCGAAAGCAGAUUAUCUGUCAAGGCAGGUCGCUAUCUUUAAAAAACAAAUGUUGGCAGAGCGGUUGGUAGCAGGAAAAGAGUUUCUUUCAGUCUCCCCAGCCAAGUGCCAACAGACUCCACCUGAUGGUUAAUCAUGGCAUCUCCACUAGCUCCCUAAUGAGGCCUGGGGUCAGACAAACUGAGAAUAGCUGGACUGGGCAAAGUGAAUGAAGAGGCCCUGUAUGGCUGGUCAGCACACCAGAGCCAGAAUGGUGGCCGCAGGAUGGCAGGCAGCCACCAACUCCACUUCUGUCAAUGCUGCAAUCUCAGGGGGGAGCAUAGUGAAUUCUGGCUCCUAACUCUUCCCACUUCCAUUAUCUGUGCUUGUGAAAGGACAGGCUAGACUAUUACCUUUUGCUCAGCCCCCAAGAAGGCAUGGAAACUCUUGUUUGCAUCUCCUGGUUUCAGCUGAAAGCAAUGAGUUUUGAAACCUAAGAGCCUCUGAAGUUUGAUAAUUACUUCAUGAGCAGAAACACAUGAAAGACCCAGCAAAUUUUCUAGGCUGGCACAGACCAUUUGAAAGGAUAUAAGCUACGCAUAUCCGGGAAUAAAUCAGGCUUGAAGCUGAAAGGACGAGCUGCAGUCAUUUUUAUAUGACUGUGGGGAGAAGUCGCUUCAGAACAGGCUAACACCAAGGAAUUCGAGCCAGGGACAGACAGGAAGAAGAAGGGUCAUGAUGGCUUCAACUGAGUUCCUGGAUCCAUUCCUGCCUGAUUAUUCCUGGACUUUGUCAUUUU
ensembl:lncRNA